UACGUAGGGUGCGAGCGUUAAUCGGAAUUACUGGGCGUAAAGCGUGCGCAGGCGGUUUGGUAAGACAGAUGUGAAAUCCCCGGGCUUAACCUGGGAAUUGCAUCUGUGACUGCAUCGCUAGAGUACGGUAGAGGGGGAUGGAAUUCCGCGUGUAGCAGUGAAAUGCGUAGAUAUGCGGAGGAACACCGAUGGCGAAGGCAAUCCCCUGGACCUGUACUGACGCUCAUGCACGAAAGCGUGGGGAGCAAACAGG
rnacentral:rRNA from 1 species